AGCUCCGGGAACUGGGCUCCGUCCGACUUCCGGGAGAGGGGAGGCUUCUCUUCUGCAAAGUCCUGCAGCCCUCCGGGGCUCUUCGGUUUUUACAGUGGAAAACUACGAUUUUAAAACAUAGACGUGAAAAUAAAUGAGAUUAGGACCUGCCGGCUUCACUUCCUGGAGGCUUGUUUGUUGUGUCUUGAAACUGGGAACCUUUGCGGGCCGCCCUUGCAGAUUCAACUGAUCAGAAGCUAUUUCCUGAAGAUCCGUACCACUACACAACAUCCUGGUUCCCUCCUCCUGGUGAGGCUUAGGAGGAUGGGUGUUCUCUGGAAUUAAACUCAGCACUGGUCCUGGACUGGCCAUGGUCAUUCAAGUGAUUGAAGUGGAAAAUGAGGAAGGAUGGCCCAGGUGAUUCCCUGGCCGGUCCUGGCCAGCAUGCUGCUCCUGCAAUUCCAUCUGAUGCCUUCCUUGGAUCCCAAAUGCCUACUCACCAGUUGAGAAACAUUUAUUGAGCACCUACUAAAAGUACCCUGAAGUGAACAAUGGCUUUCAGGAAGGUGAAGUGGUUCCUGAACCUAGGAAGCUCAGGAAACGGAAUUGCAAGCCCAGGGCUUGGCAUUUGGGUUCUAGAUGCCUUUUUCACCACCCAUCAUCGGACACCAUCCCUGUCAUCUUCACAAAGAUUCCACCAGGGCCCCCUCUCCUGCCGCCCAGCAGUUUGCCCUCUGUGUCAUGGCGGAGUUUUGAAUUUAACAGUCACUUCUGCAUUUCGUGUGGACGCUUCGCGUAGUACCCUAGCUUAGGUGCUCCUUAGAUAAUCCUGGAGUUUAAUUUCCUUGUUAUGCACCCAUCCUCUGAAACUCAGCUUCUGUUUGUUCACGCAUUGAAUAGGGUGCAGCAUCUUCUAGAAACCAGACACUGUUCCAGAAGCUAUGGAUACAGCAGUGGACAAAACAAAUCCCCACCCACAUGGAUCUGCUGGUUGGGGAUGGCAGAGCCACCAAAUAAACUCUUUGGAAUUCUUAUCUGUUCAGUUGUUACCUGUAUCCUGACAUCUGCGGCAACCUUGUUUGCUGUGACUCCUUCUCCAUUUCUUUCAGGAUGGACCUGUUUCCUAGCUCCAGUCUUCACAGCCUUUACUUGGAUGGUGAUUUUAUCUGUAGCCAGAGAGCUUGCUGUUUGUCCUGUUGCAUUUCAGGUUUUGAAGGGUUUUUGUUUUUUUUUUCUUUUACAGUGCUGGGCAGGCCCAGGGCCUGGCACAUGGAACAUGAGUGCUGUACCACUGAGUACCCCCAGGCGUCUGUUGUGUUUUGAAUCAGAGCAUCCCCGUCUCUUAACCAACAUCAAGCAUUCAUUUACAAAAACCAGGAGCUUCCAUAAUAAGCUAACUUUUAAAAAGGCAACUUGUAUAUUCUGUACAUACCGAAUCUUGUCCGAGAAGGUUUGUUGAAGCCACAUGACCCAGCCUUACUGUUUAUUUUGUUGUUAUAAUAUUGCCUUUCUUUUGAAGUUUCCUAGCUAUUAUGCCAAACAUAAAAAUAACUGACUGCUUUACAUUCAUAUUCCAUAACUUAUUUUGAGCAGUACUAUGAAUAAUGUAUUAGUAAAAUGUAAUCUUAUCUUUAAAUAUGUGAUUUUUUAAAAAAUAAAUUUUGCUGCAUCCUUA